rnacentral:lncRNA from 1 species
GAUAGUCCUAGUGAGGAGUCACCGGACUGAUUGAGUUGAGCACCAUUCGGAUGAUCUAAUCAGGGUUGACAGUUUAACCCUGAGUCAUCCUAAACACAGGGGUCAAAAGGAUGAAUUAUACAGUAACCAUAUUCACGUAGGUUCUGAGUAUUGCGAUUGUGACUAUUCGACCUAUCUGAAUAUCGGGUACCAUUGUUAGA